rnacentral:rRNA from 1 species
UACGAAGGGGGCUAGCGUUGCUCGGAAUCACUGGGCGUAAAGCGCACGUAGGCGGAUUGCUAAGUCAGGGGUGAAAUCCUGGAGCUCAACUCCAGAACUGCCCUUGAUACUGGCGGUCUCGAGUCCGGGAGAGGUGAGUGGAACUGCGAGUGUAGAGGUGAAAUUCGUAGAUAUUGGGAAGAACACCGGUGGCGAAGGCGGCGAGCUGGUCCAUUACUGACGCUGAGGCGCGACAGCGUGGGGAGCAAACAGG